AGAAGAGAAUAAUAAACUUCUCUCCUCAAUAACUGAAGGGACACAUUCUCCCUAUAUCAUCUAGUAGACCAUAGAAUCUCCAAAGUCCCCUCCAUCUCCAUUUCAUCUAAGCCUGCGUCCUUAGCUACUGGUCCUUAAAUAUUGUUGGUUUCUCAGUCUAUUUUCUUUCUAACUCAGCUCCUUCCUCUCUUUCUUCAUUCUGUUCUUUGCAUAGACACUUGUCAACUCUUGGUCUCUAGACUCAGAGCCAUCUGAUCUCUCCUGGGAAGGUAGAGAGGCCACCCCACACAACCCCAGUUUAUAAUCACCAUUGACCACCUGCCACAGCCACCACCAUGUGCAGCCUAGAGCAGGUACAUUUAAUAAAUCAAUAAAUACAGAGGCCACAUGAGGUCACACCUUCAAGGAAAUACAAUUGGGCCACUCCCUGCACAUGCAUAUAACCACUCCUGGGGUCCUUCAGUUCAGGCUGGACCAGCACUGUUUUGCGUGGUAAUAUCUAAGGCACCUUCUCAAACCCAGCCCGGGAUACAAAUAUCUCCCAUCAGUCUCCCUGUGAGCUCAGAGCUCUCUGCCUCCAGCUCUGCAAGGCUCACAAUGCUCUCCCAGUCCUUGCUCCUCUGGAUCCUACUGCUCUGGCCUCAAGAAUCCCAGGCAGCCACAGUGAUGACCCAGUCCCCAGCCUCCUUGUCUGUGGCUCCAGGAGACAGAGUCACCAUCAGCUGCAAGGCCAGUUCCAGCGUUAACAAGUGGAUGAACUGGUACCAGCAGAAACCAGGACAGGCUGCCAAGCUCCUGAUCUAUUAUACUUCCAAACUGCAGACUGGGGUCCCAGCCUGUUUCAGUGGCAGGUCCUCUGGGACAGAUUUUACCUUCACCAUCAGUGCAGUGGAGGCUGAGGAUGUGGCAGAUUAUUACUGUUUUCAGUAUUAUAGUGCUCCAUUACCACAGUGUUUCAGUCCUAAACAAAAACCUCUCCAGGCUGCUCAGUCCUUCAGUACGGUGGGACAGCUGCUUCCCCAGAGUCACAGGAUUGGGGCAACCACUGCCCUCAGGGGAGAACUGGGCCUAAUUUAGCUCUGUUCUGGGACCUAUUUGUCCCAGGGGCUCUGGUUGAGGUAAAAAGAUUAAGAAGAGAGAGAAAAAGGAGGAAGAGAAAGAAUCUUCUGCCUGCUAUGUUUUACCCAAGGACCAUAAACCUUGCCAUAGGGGCUGCUUCCAGAAGCUGGUCUCAUUCUUUACUCUUCCCUUAUAUGUGAAGACAAGGUGAUGGCCAUUGGUACUGUGGGAGAGAGGUCUUUCCUAGGUCUGUUUUUCUUUUCUCAUUCUCAGGUCUCAGAGGCCAUCUCCAGAGAGUGAGCCUGGUG